GAUGAAGAACGUAGCGAAAUGCGAUACUUGGUGUGAAUUGCAGAAUCCCGUGAACCAUCGAGUCUUUGAACGCAAGUUGCGCCCGAAGCCAUUAGGCCGAGGGCACGCCUGCCUGGGCGUCACACGUCGUUGCCCCCCCAUCUACUCCUUCGGGAUUGCGGGGGGCGGAUGAUGGCCUCCCGUGCGCCUCGCCGCGCGGUUGGCAUAAAUGCCAAGUCCUCGGCGACGCACGCCACGACAAUCGGUGGUUGCGAAACCUCGGUUGUCCGUCGUGUGCGGUCGUCGCGCAUCGAGGGCUCGAAAAAAUUGCCGGGUUCCGGCUCGGCUUUCAACGCGACCCCAGGUCAGGCGGGGUUACCCGCUGAAUUUAAGCAUAUCAAUAAGCGGAGGA
rnacentral:misc_RNA from 1 species